ensembl:lincRNA
CUAAAGGAGUGCCCAGCUGUUGCUCUUUCCUCUCUCUGGUUUUCAGUCCCCGUGAUGUGGACUCAUUAUGGCUGUGAUCGUUGCUGAUGACAUUAAUGCACUGUGCUGCUUCUCCAUCGCAUGUGCCAUCUGCUCCCAUCAGCCCUGUGGGGUUCUCAAGUAUUUCCUAGAUGAUCAGUGGGAGGCCUGUGCCCCUUUCCUUGAUGUGAAUCUCUUUACUCACCUCCUACCAACAGCCUCCUUUCAUCCAGG